CCUACGGGUGGCUGCAGUGGGGAAUAUUGCACAAUGGGCGCAAGCCUGAUGCAGCCAUGCCGCGUGUGUGAAGAAGGCCUUCGGGUUGUAAAGCACUUUCAGCGGGGAGGAAGGCGGUGAGGUUAAUAACCUCAUCGAUUGACGUUACCCGCAGAAGAAGCACCGGCUAACUCCGUGCCAGCAGCCGCGGUAAUCCGGAGGGUGCAAGCGUUAAUCGGAAUUACUGGGCGUAAAGCGCACGCAGGCGGUCUGUGCAAGUCGGAUGUGAAAUCCCCGGGCUCAACCUGGGAACUGCAUUCGAAACUGGCAGGCGAGAGUCUUGUAGAGGGGGGUAGAAUUCCAGGUGGAGCGGUGAAAUGCGUAGAGAUCUGGAGGAAUACCGGUGGCGAAGGCGGCCCCCUGGACAAAGACUGACGCUCAGGUGCGAAAGCGUGGGGAGCAAACAGGAUUAGAUACCCCUGUAGUC
rnacentral:rRNA from 1 species